UACGUAGGGUGCGAGCGUUGUCCGGAAUUAUUGGGCGUAAAGAGCUCGUAGGCGGUGUGUCACGUCGGCCGUGAAAACCUGCAGCUUAACUGUGGCGUGCGGUCGAUACGGGCAUCACUGGAGUUCGGCAGGGGAGACUGGAAUUCCUGGUGUAGCGGUGAAAUGCGCAGAUAUCAGGAGGAACACCGGUGGCGAAGGCGGGUCUCUGGGCCGAUACUGACGCUGAGGAGCGAAAGCGUGGGGAGCGAACAGG
rnacentral:rRNA from 1 species